rnacentral:rRNA from 1 species
UCCAUGUUUAUAAUAAAUAGCCGCAGUUUACUGUGCUAAGGUAGCAUAAUCAUUAGCCUUAUAAUUAAAGGAUAGAAUGAAAGGCCAAACGGAAUUUUUACUGUCUCCAAAAUUUUACGCCAACUUACUAUACUAGUAAAAACCCUAGUGAUAAUAAACAGGACGACAAGACCCUAAAAACUCUUCAUAUUUUGCUGGGGCGGCACUAUAAAAACACCUUAAUCAACACCCGAUACGCAUCUAUUCUCCAAUAAUAAAGAUAAAGUUACUUUAGGGAUAACAGCGCUACUUUUUUUAAAAGUUCAAAUUUAAAAAAAAAUCUACGACCUCGAUGUUGAAUUAAUUUAAUCCUCUAAAAGCAAAAUUUUAGAUAGACAGUCUGUUCGACUAAUAAAAAAUU